rnacentral:rRNA from 1 species
UACAGAGGUCUCGAGCGUUGUUCGGAUUCAUUGGGCGUAAAGGGCGCGUAGGCUGCGGGGUAAGUCAGGUGUGAAAUCUCAGAGCUCAACUCUGAAAUUGCACUUGAUACUGCUCUGCUAGAGGACUGGAGAGGAGAUUGGAAUUCACGGUGUAGCAGUGAAAUGCGUAGAUAUCGUGAGGAAGACCGGUGGCGAAGGCGGAUCUCUGGACAGUUCCUGACGCUGAGGCGCGAAGGCCAGGGGAGCAAACGGG